AGCACAGUCACCUGAGCGACCUCCAGGUCAUGCUAACUACAUGCAUCAUCAAUGCUCUCACACACACAGAGAAGCAAAUAUUGUAUUUCACUCCAUCAUUUUCAUUUCCCUGAAGAUUUGUUCUUAUUUUAUUCAAGCUUUUCAAACUCCCAGGGCCUGAAGUUCCCCUGGGAGCCACCAUGAGCCCCGGCUGAGCAGAUGGUGCUAUUGACUGAGAAUCAGCUGUGCUGAAGCUGAGAAACAUUGAAAACCUGCAGGACAGCGGCCCUGGAGGAGCCUGAUGCAGAGCAUCCAGCGGGGGGGCAGAGGUCAGCAUCACAAAAGAAAAAUGCAAUUUAUAUAGAAACUGCUCUGAAAACAGCAGCAGGAUGAAACCACCUGCUGGUUUUUCCUCAUCACAGAAUAUAUGAGUGGAAAACUCUGAAAAAUGCUCCAAAUGAGGCUUUGCUCA